rnacentral:tRNA from 1 species
GAAUAAGAAGUAAAACAUUACAUUCAGUUUCGACCUGAAAAAUGGUAUAAUGAAUACCCUUAUUUU